rnacentral:rRNA from 1 species
UGCUUGCACUUGGGGAUUAGUGGCGAACGGGUGAGUAACACGUGAGUAACCUGCCCCUGACUCUGGGAUAAGCCCGGGAAACUGGGUCUAAUACCGGAUAUGACUGUCCACCGCAUGGUGGGUGGUUGAAAGAUUUAUCGGUGAGGGAUGGACUCGCGGCCUAUCAGCUUGUUGGUGAGGUAAUGGCUCACCAAGGCGACGACGGGUAGCCGGCCUGAGAGGGUGACCGGCCACACUGGGACUGAGACACGGCCCAGACUCCUACGGGAGGCAGCAGUGGGGAAUAUUGCACAAUGGGCGAAAGCCUGAUGCAGCGACCCCGCGUGAGGGAUGACGGCCUUCGGGUUGUAAACCUCUUUCAGUAGGGAAGAAGCGAAAGUGACGGUACCUGCAGAAGAAGCGCCGGCUAACUACGUGCCAGCAGCCGCGGUAAUACGUAGGGCGCAAGCGUUAUCCGGAUUUAUUGGGC